CCUACGGGAGGCAGCAGUGGGGAAUAUUGCACAAUGGGGGAAACCCUGAUGCAGCGACGCCGCGUGAGUGAAGAAGUAUCUCGGUACGUAAAGCACUAUCAGCAGGGAAGAAAAUGACGGUACCUGACUAAGAAGCCCCGGCUAACUACGUGCCAGCAGCCGCGGUAAGACGUAGGGGGCAAGCGUUAACCGGAUUUACUGGGUGUAAAGGGAGCGGAGACGGCAGCACAAGUCUGGAGUGAAAUCCCGGGGCUUAACCCCGGAACUGCUUUGGAAACUGUGCGGCUGGAGUGCAGGAGGGGGAAGCAGAAUUCCAAGUGUAGCGGUGAAAUGCGUAGAUAUUAGGAGGAACACCGGUGGCGAAGGCGGCCUACUGGACUGUAACUGACGCUGAGGUUCGAAAGCGUGGGUAUCAAACGGGAUUAGAUACCCUGGUAGUC
rnacentral:rRNA from 1 species